AGUGAACGCUGGCGGUAGACCUAACACAUGCAAGUCGAACGGCAGCACAGUAAGAGCUUGCUCUUACGGGUGGCGAGUGGCGGACGGGUGAGGAAUACAUCGGAAUCUACUUUUUCGUGGGGGAUAACGUAGGAAAACUUACGCUAAUACCGCAUACGACCUACGGGUGAAAGCAGGGGAUCUUCGGACCUUGCGCGAUUGAAUGAGCCGAUGUCGGAUUAGCUAGUUGGCGGGGUAAAGGCCCACCAAGGCGACGAUCCGUAGCUGGUCUGAGAGGAUGAUCAGCCACACUGGAACUGAGACACGGUCCAGACUCCUACGGGAGGCAGCAGUGGGGAAUAUUGGACAAUGGGCGCAAGCCUGAUCCAGCCAUACCGCGUGGGUGAAGAAGGCCUUCGGGUUGUAAAGCCCUUUUGUUGGGAAAGAAAAGCAGCAGGUUAAUACCCCGCUGUUCUGACGGUACCCAAAGAAUAAGCACCGGCUAACUUCGUG
rnacentral:rRNA from 1 species